rnacentral:rRNA from 1 species
UACGUAGGGGGCAAGCGUUGUCCGGAUUUAUUGGGCGUAAAGAGCGUGUAGGCGGCUGGGUAGGUCCGUUGUGAAAACUCGAGGCUCAACCUCGAGACGCCGAUGGAAACCCUCCAGCUAGAGUCCGGAAGAGGAGAGUGGAAUUCCUGGUGUAGCGGUGAAAUGCGCAGAUAUGCGGAGGAACACCGAUGGCGAAGGCAAUCCCCUGGACCUGUACUGACGCUCAUGCACGAAAGCGUGGGGAGCAAACAGG